CAACGCCCAUAACCACUCCAAUAUUCUCAUGGGAGGUGCUCCUUGUUUAUCUCCUUUUAAAUAGGAGUAGGUAGUUAGGGUUUUAGAGUCCAAGAGCACUUGGACUCUUAGUGCCGCCCACCCUUUCCAUGCCCUCUUCCUUUUAAUGCAAAUAAUAAUCACAUAGAGAAAUAUGGGGCGUGAGGCAUCUUCAAUGAAGAGUCCUUCUGCAGUUUGAUCUCCUCGUUUGACUUGGAUAGAUUAGGUCAAGGUUGGUUGAAAAUUAAAUCAAAUUUGGAGUCCAACUUAGAUUAGGUUUCAAC
rnacentral:lncRNA from 1 species